CACGUAGUUAGCCGGAGCUUAUUCCUCAGGUACCGUCAAAUUCCUCUUUCUUCCCUGAUAAAAGAACUUUACAUUACGAAUAACUUCUUCGUUCACGCGGCGUUGCUCGGUCAGGGUUCCCCCCAUUGCCGAAAAUUCCCUACUGCUGCCUCCCGUAGGAGUAUGGACCGUUCUCAGUUCCCAUUGUGGCCGUUCAACCUCUCAGUCCGGCUACGCAUCAUCGCCUUGGUAGGCCCUUACCCCACCAACUAGCUAAUGCGCCACAGGCCCCUCCUUAAGCAGAUCUCUCUUUUAAAUAUAAAAGAUUCUUCCUCUAUAUCCUAUCCAGUUUUAUCCAUCGUUUCCAAUGGCUAUCCUCGUCUUAAGGGUAGGUUACCUAUGUAUUACUCACCCGUUGCCACUAAAGUACCCGAAGGUACUUCCGUUCGACUUGCAUGUAUUAGGCACGCCGCCAGCGUUAAUCCUGAGCCAGGAUCAAACUCU
rnacentral:rRNA from 1 species